rnacentral:lncRNA from 1 species
UUCUUGCUCGUUAUCAACCAAAGCUUCAAAUACAUCGGAUUCAGAAUUGGUGGAGAAAUGGUCAUUAUGUUCAAUGUAGCUCUUUUCCAAUAUAUAUCACCAAUUUCAAAUUUGUAAAGAUCUAUGGAGUCUUGCCAUUCGCAGACUACCAUUCUAUCAAAUAAAUUUGAGUCUUUUAUCCAAUUAUUGGCACUCUUAUCU